GGAACCUGGAAGCAGAGGAUGGAAAUUGAAAAACAAAGUAGAAAAGGAAAUCAAGCAGAAUCCCUUUAAUGGUGAAGCAUGAUGGAAUCCCUGUCCAGAGAAUGAAGAGCAGCCAUUCCAGAGCCCCUUUACUUUGAUGUGUGCUCAGCUUUCACGUGGAAAGUUUUUCAGUAAGCUCCAUCCAGCCAAGAGAAUUCUGGGUCUGUUAACAGGAUAUUUACUUUGAGG